rnacentral:ncRNA from 1 species
UCGGCUCCGGUUCACGCACCAACGGGGGGCCAGCCCCCCGUUAACCCCCAAGGCAACACGUACCAACGGGGCAAGCUCCAGGGGUGCGACCCGGCGGCC